GUAUUGUCCCAUAACUCAUAUGUCAUUUUGUUUGGACGAUUUUGUUUUUAAUAAACAACUAAAAAUGGAAAAGAAAUUUUACAAAAAAAGAAAUUUAUGGGGAGAAGGAAGUGAAAGUCUCCUUAUAGAUGUUUGGAGAACAAAAAUUGAUGAGCUGAGAGGUGUUCGCAAAAACAGCCACAUCAUGGAGAAGAUGGCGUUGGAGUUGCAGGAGCUUGGGGUUAUGUGCACUCCAAGCGAAAUAAAAACGAAAAUGCACAAUCUGACGGCGAGAUAUAGGAAGGAGAAGAAAGAAAUCGGACCAUCGGGUGGGGCACCUUCUAAAUGGCCUCUUUAUAUGGAGAUGCAUCAGCUUUUAGCACCGUACAAAAGCUACAAUUCUGAAACCCUGGUCGAAGAGGGCACAAAUGGUGAGAUGCUUUGCAUUUUAGGCCCCUGGGAAAACCUCCGAGUAUAUUUCUGACAUGAAAAAACCGCUUCUCAUAAAUAUAUUCGCCGUUCCGAGUCAGCGUAAAACUGUAGGUCCUUCCCUCCCCUUUGUGUGACAACACCAAGGCGCACGCCACGAAUCGGAGGAGAAGCUCGGCUGAAAACUAACAAAUUACGUUAGAGCCAAUCUAUUAUUAUCAGGUAUGUUCUGCAAAUGAUUUCAAAUCGGUGCGAUUUGCAAAUUAUUGUUGUAGGUAUAUUUGAAAUCAAAUUAUUAAAUGUAUCAAAUGGAAACUGCUAAAAACACAUCCUUUACUUUAUAGCCGUCGUUUUACUGCCAAAUGUUUCACUCUUUUGUUAUAAAUCCUCCGAAAUAGAUUUCGUAAAUCGCGCCGAUUUGAAAUCAUUUGCAGAACAUACCUGAGCACCCUAACACCUUCUCUGCUUUUCAACUUUCUUGGUACUGCAAAAAGAAAGUGGAGAAAAGAAAAACAUUACAAAUUCAACAGUCACCGCGCGCACACGGGAAAACGGCCAC